ensembl:lncRNA
GAAAGAAAGAGAAAGGGAGAGAGAGAAUGAGAGAAGAGAAGGGAUGGGAGGGCAGAGAGAGUGAAAUUAGACUGAAGGGGAGGGAGGCGAAUCUGUGAGGUGAGGAUUCUGCCUUACAACACUGAGCAUGUCUUUGUGAGGAUACGAUUAUACUGUUCUAAGGUCUAUUUUCUGUUGUUUAAAGCAGAACAGUGAACUGCGUGUCUGUCUUCAAUGAGUAUACACUGAAAUAACAACAGGUUUUGCAAGUCUAGGGUGUUGAUGUCAUCUUAACCCUCUGUGUGUGUCAGAAGCAGAACAGGGACAGUGUAUCUAGCCAGUCACCACAAUGUCACCCAAACACACCACAGCUGCACUCCACUUCCCACAGUGCUCAUUCAGAUUAGCCAAAUUAAUCAUACAGUGUGUAUACAUUAUUAAAGAAUUUAUGUAAAUUUGCUUGUUAAAAUGUACUUGGUGUUUUUAAUUUUUUCUCAAAUAUGAAAUGCUAUAUAUAUAUAUAUAUAUAUAUAUAUAUAUAUAUAUAUAUAUAUAUAUAUAUAUAUAUAUAUAUAUAUAUAUAUAUGUAUGUAUGUAUAAUGAUGAAUUGUUCACAGUAAGAUCUAUAACAUGCAUUUAUAAAAUAGGACAGUUUUCAAUUAAUGCUGACUUUAAAAAUGACUUAACAUGUACGAAAUCUGUAACUUGUAUGUGUAUAGUGCUGUCCCACAGUUCUAUGAAUUAUUUAAAAAUAUUUAAAAUAUCAAAUGGAAAUUUACAACUCUAAAGUUAUAACACUAACUAUAAUCUAUUUUGCAAAUUUCUAGAUGAAUUUUUCAUAGUGCCUCACAAAAAACUGAUUUCCUGUGAUGUAUUGUAUUAGAUUGAGAUGACAAUCCUUCUUGCUCUUCCCUUUUUAAAAGAUUUUUUUUAAUCUGUUCACAACAUUUCAGAGUUUGUGCACAACAUGUCCAAACUGAUCUGAGAUGAAUCAUUAGAUUUAGUUGGCUUGGUUUAUGGAACAUAAUUGUCUUGACUCAUCUGCCAGUUAAUUGUUCAUAACAGAGAUGUAAAGUACACAAUAAAGACUAUUUUAAACAACAUGAAUGAUUCGGUGUAAUUUAAAGGUGAGGUCAGGCAACCUAAAUGAGUCAAGCUAAUCAUUUUCCAUUACUGAUUUGAAUAAACUCAAACAACAUUGUUGUAACCGUUCUAAAGAACACUAUGUGCAGGCACAAAGUUUACCUUGCUCUGUUUUGAAAGAUGAAAAAUCACAUUUUGAGACCGGGGUCCCAGUAAUGUUAACCCACCCUCGAGGGACACAGCCUGUCACAUUCAUUCCUUCAUCUGUCAGGCUCCUGGUACCAGUUUGUUGCCAUGGUAAUACCGUCUGGUGAUGCAGUCGGAAAAGCUGUAGAGUCCUAAUUGGCCUCAGUCCUAGGUAAGAUUUUGAAUAGCUGCUUCCGUGCCACUAUCUUGUUUAGAAUAACUAUUGAAUACUGAUUAAGGUUUCUGUUUUAAGGACAUAUAACACAAAAUACUGAACUGAGAUGCAGGAUGAAUAAGGAGGCAAUUUUCUUUACUCUAGCUCAAUAUUUGCAUCUCAUUUUAAAACACUCUUGCCCUCUCUAUUUAUCGAUCUAUAUCUCUGUUUCGCCCUCGUAGUCUCUCUCCUGCCAGCAAAUACACAUGCAUCCAACAGGUCUGAUGGUUUGAGUCACCAUCUGCUGUCUUCUAAGAGUUGACAUUUGCACUAAUCGCAUGUUUGAGGUCAGACUCACUUCGCUAGUGGCCUUUUUCCAGUUGAUGUUACAUUUCAAGUGUCCUGCGGGGUGACAAUUAAUAUGGUUACUCUAAAACUCUUUUUGUCUUAUAAUGAUUAUAAUUAUUAUUAUCAUUAUUAUUUACAGUAUAUACAUGUAUAAUAUUAAUUAAUUUAUAAAAUAAUAUAAAUAAUAAAAAUAGGUCCUUUAAAUGCAAGCUGCUACAAUUUGCUAACAAUCACAUCAUUUACUACACAAGUUGAUUGGCCUCUGCUGAUUCUACAGCCAAUGAGAGUAACAACAUUUAAAUAGUUUGGUUAAGUGUUUGCUGUAAGCUGGUCCUGCAGCAUGCUAUUUAGAGUUCUUCUGAAACCCUCCACCUUCCCCAGCUCCACCUGUCUGGAGCUGCUAUUGGAUUUAUGUAUGCCUAUUCAUGUGGAAACAGCAUAUCUUAUGGUCACGUCUGUGUAUCUAUUGGUGGUAGCCAAUCCAUACUUGCAACAGCAUUCAUAGCAGAUAUAGUCUGCCAAGGCCUAAUACACUGACAUUGUAAGAUCUAUUAAUAUGCUAAAACUAUUUGAGAAUUGUCAUUAUUGGUUUAAAUUAACCCUAACUUAAAUUAUCAUAAAAAGACAAAUGCCUGUGUUAUGUGCCAACUACCCACAAAAAAGUAUUUUUUUAUUUUUUUUUUCAUGUGCAUACUUUAAAAGACUGUGCUGUUUUAUAAACUGCUUGUGUUUGACUUUGAUUAAUCAUAUUGUAUUGUACCUCCACUGGUUUGAUUCAAAGCUCUGUCUAAGGUUUGGUCAAUAUAUGACCUACCAUGUGUUUGCAAUUGAAGAGCUUUGGAAGGUGUUGAUGAGUCAUAUCAGUGAAAGGAAAGACUAAGCACACAGUAAACAGAGGCUGUCUAGGUUUAGUCUGCCAAAGCCUGAGAUUAUUAAAGGCAUUUAUGCAGUCAAGGUUCUGAGCAGUCAAUAACAAUGGAGGUUCAAAUCAUCUCUUAUAAACAGAACGAGGCCAGAGAAUAUUUAUUUGAAGCCGAGUUGGCAUUCAUAAAUGCAUUUAGCAGACAUCAAUAUUUCUAGACAAGCAGUUUCAGUUAUGAUGUGUGCAGAAAGAAAAAUACCUAAGCCAGUCACAAGCUUAUUUCUGCUUCAAAAGCUUGACAGAGCAUUCACUUCACUGUUCUGCUCCAGAUUCUGGGUUGUAUAGCACAAAUAGAGCAAUGGUUUCUUAAAAUCUUUACUACAAUAAUAUAGUGAGCAAUAGAGAAUAAUCUAUAAUAAAGCCAAGAAGCAUUUGGAUGGCAAAGAUAAAAAAAAAAAUAAUGUAGGCACCAGUCAUUUUGUUUUUCAUAAAUAUAGCCAUUCAAAAUAAUUUACCUGGCGAACAAAAAAGAGGUGAAAAACUGGGUCAGAAAUGAACUUUUCCAUUUAAGGGAACAUUUGCCUGUGGGAAGUGAUUUCCUGGGUAAUUUUUUACCUUUGUAAGGGCAAUUUUAUUUACAUAAUAGCGAUGUAAUAUUACUGGUAAAAUCGUUAUUGUCGAUUACUGUCCUUGAUAUUGGAAUAAUGAUCAGUAAUAUACAUUACUAUACAAAUGUUUUUGGGUGUGGAAAAAUGACAUAGGCCUAUUCUUUUAGGCUACACAGGCAAAACAAACUGAGAACUGUUUAUGAAUAAGUUUACUGCUUUUUGAUGCAUUACAAAAUCAAGACUUCAUGUUGGAAAACUAAACAAUUAUUUAAACUUCGGAAUAAAUUACUGUAUAUACAGAAAAAGAGCAAAGAAUGUUCCACAUUAUUGAAGUGGUCAAUGAGUUCAUGGCAAGCUCACUGAGUUCAGCACUCUCACAAGAAUUUGGGGGGAAUUUUUACUUAUUUUGGUGGCUGUUUUCCUCCAAGCCCUUGUUAUUUUCUGACACUGGUGAAAAAUCCUUUAGGGAGCAAUAUAUCAUAAAUGACUUGUGGUAACCACCUAAAUGUCCUAAUAACUACUCACAACACCUUUGGCAACUGCAUAGCUAUGUGCCAGCACAACAUAGAUCAACAUGACAACAGUCUUUAGAAAAUGUCAAAUGUUUUGUUUUGGUAUAUUAAAAUUCAGGCUUCUGUUGACGUGCUUUCGAGGGUGCCUUUCCUGCUUCACUUUACCUCACAAAUGUCUCAUUCUCAGCUACGCCUACAGAACCUUGUCAUGGGAUUCCUGCCAGAAGCAAUUUGGAAUCGGUUUGUUCUGUGACAAAUAUUCCACAGAGACAUGGUACAAAAAGUUGUGAAAGUGAGCCGGGCUUCUCAUAACCUCUGUGGACCAAUUACUGUUAUCAUUCUAUCAAACAAAAGAGUGACAUUCAGAGAUGAAGACUGUUCUUUGUGAAGUAUUAUCACGGCUAAUGUUGUUAUUCUCUGUCUCUUUCAUAUUUUCAGAUAACCAAUAGCGUUGACUACGUUUUCUAGAGACACCGCUGAUUUCCCUCCGAAAGUCGAGACAUGGAAAGAAGAGAGAAUAAAGUGUCCAACGUCUCCCCACAAAAACAGACAGUGAAAAAUAGAUCCAAGUCCACAGAGGAGGUACAGCAAGCCAAAAAGGCCUUUCAUACACCACAAAAAUCUCUUCCGGCUAAACCAGAAACCGAACAACUUGAGGAGACCUCAGAACUGAGUGCCUCAUCAGAGGAGUUAAAAUGAUUGUUGGAUUCAAACUUCGGGGCUUUGAGAUUUAGACAGAUCAACCGGAAUUAUGGGUAAUAACAAGAGGAUGAUUCAGUGUCUUUACUGAAUUCAGUGUUUUACUUUGUUUAGUUCAUAUAGAAGAAAACCAACAAUAAUCAUGUGUAGCUUCUUGAAUUUGUAUGAGUCUGUUUUGUUUGUGAAAUAAAUGGAUAUCUCAG